rnacentral:rRNA from 1 species
GACAGGGGAUGCAAGCGUUUAUCCGGAAUGAUUGGGCGUAAAGCGUCUGUAGGUGGCUUAAAAAAGUCUCCUGUCAAAGAUCAGGGCUUAACCCUGGGCCGGGCAGGAGAAACUCUUAGGCUAGAGUUUGGUAGGGGCAGAGGGGAAUUCCCGGUGGAGCGGUGAAAUGCGUAGAGAUCGGGAGGAACACCAAAGGCGAAAGCACUCUGCUGGGCCACAACUGACACUGAGAGACGAAAGCGAGGGGAGCAAAAAGGG